GAUAAAUUUACUCCUAUUUCAGCACAUUUACUUUACUUGGCUCUCGUUUUAUGAAAAUAUUCAUUUGAAUGCCAGUGCUUUAACAUAACAAAUUUUGUGACAAAAAAUAAAAAUACCAUUAUAAAUAGGAACAAUUAAGAAAUUAAGACAUAACAUUAUUAAAGUGUUGUAAUAUAUAUGGUUUUAAAGAUGUUUGGUUUAGUCUACUUUAAAAAGGUGGUUUAGUCUACUUUGAAAAGGAUAGUACACUUGUAAGUGUGCGACAAAAUCUCAGAGACUUGACAUUCGAAGUUUUCAAGCGAAAAUCAAAAUGUUCCAUGAAAUGGGGCGCAGAAGACGAUGAGGAAAGAAUUAUUAUUACCAGAGAUGGUUCAACUGAUGGAACAUUAUCCAACCACAAUAAAAAGAUUUGGAAUGCGCAAGUUUUGCAGUGCUGCCUUUUACCUGAUGGUGAAACUUAGUUCCGGCCAUAAAUCCGAGGGAGACACAAGAACGGUCAAGAGGUCAGGUUCUGGCGGGGAACAAGCAUGACAUAAAGCCUGUGCUUGAUGCCGUCAUCAUUUCUGCCUGCAAAGGUUAUGUCUGGAUGUGGUGCAAAGACCACAGCAAAACAGUGCCAGAUGACACCUCUUUCAACAAGGCAGUGACACUCCAAAUAGACUACUCCAGGAAAUAAAUGAAAUCAUCUUGUUUAAAUUGAGACUAAAAAUAGGGGGUGAUUUUUUAAUUUUUACCCUGUCAUAAUGUGAUCAAUUCAACAACAACAAAAAUAUUGGUACUGUCAGUAUAUUUCAUUGUGUACAUUUUAUUGUUUACAUUUUAAAAUUUCAUAAAAAAAAUGUUAUUUAUUGAUGGUCUGUUUAUUUUGCUUUUUCUACCUGGAUACAUUUUUUGUACAGAAAAUUUUCUGUACAGAAUUUAAUAUUAAACAGAUUUUAUUCUGCACAGAAUUCUAUUCUCACAUUUUGGUUCUCCCCAGAUUUAAUUCUGCCAGAUUUUUUUCUGCCUCGAACAAAUUCUGCUUAAUUUAAAUAAUUCGUAAAAUCUGUACAGAAUUCGUUCUUUGUUUAUAUUGAAAAAAUCUAUAAAUAGAAAUCUGGUUCAACUCAUUUAAAAUGGACACCAAAUAUUUUCUGCACAUAUUCUACACAGAUUUUGUGUAUUUUAUUCUGCACAUAAUCUGGUUGCAGUCUGCCCAAACAUUUUCGU